ACUUAGAUAGUUUAAUUAAAAUUUUGAUUUGUGGUGUCAAUGAUAUGAAAUUAUAUUUCAUUUUAGGUU
rnacentral:tRNA from 1 species